rnacentral:rRNA from 1 species
AAGGCCCCCCCCGGGAGGGAGCCCGGUGCUUAAUUUGACCCAACACCAGCAAACCCACCCCGGCCGGUGACUGGAGGGAUUGAUAGAUUGCGCUUUCUUUCUUGAGUUGGUGGGGGGGGGUGCACGGGCGUACUUGGUGGGGGGAGCUGUUUGUCUGGUUAAUACCAAUAACGAAAAACACUCUUACCUACUAAAUAGACCGUUCGCUUACCACGAUCAAUGAUAUUUCAUGGACGGGCGGGCGGCCAUUCACACGAACCAAACCAAUCACAAACCGGUCAGUGCUGUCCUUAGACGGCGGCGGCCGCACGCUCCCUACACUGAACUGAGCGGAGUGCAUUUCCACUCUACUCUGCCUAGAAAGGGCAACCCACUGAACUUUCUCCUUGAUUGGGAUAGUGGAUUGAAUCAUCUCUCAUUGAGAAAGGAAAGUCAGAUGUGGGCAAACCCUAAGGUCGAUUUCAUUACUUCCCUUUCCUCUGUACACACCGCCCGUCGCUCCUACCAAUUGAAUGUCUG